rnacentral:rRNA from 1 species
AUCCUUGAAAGAGUGCGUAAUAGCUCACUGGUCAAGUGAUUCUGCGCCGACAAUUUAGCGGGGCUCAAGUUAUCCGCCGAAGCUGUGGCAUUCACAUGUGUGACCGGAAGGUUGUGUGGAUGGGUAGGGGAGCGUCGUGUGCGUGUUGAAGCGGUGGGGUGACCUGAUCGUGGAGUGCAUACGAGUGAGAAUGCAGGCAUGAGUAGCGAAUGACGGGUGAGAAACCCGUCCGCCGAAUAUCCAAGGGUUCCAGGGUCAAGUUAAUCUGCCCUGGGUUAGUCGGGACCUAAGGCGAGGCCGACAGGCGUAGUCGAUGGACAACGGGUUGAUAUUCCCGUACCGGCGAAACAACGUCCGUGCUGGGGCACGCGAUGCUAAGCAUGCGAGACUGUCUGCUGCCUUUCGGGGUGGUGGGUGGUUGAGUCUGUGAUCCGAGUGUGUAGUAGGCAAGCCGCGGAGGGACGCAGGAAGGUAGCUCAUCCUCAGCGUUGGUUGUCUGAGGCUAAGUGUGUAGGGUGGGGUGUAGGUAAAUCCGCAUUCCGUGAUGCCUGAGACACGAUGGGCCUGCACCGUUUGGGUGUGGGUUGAGUGAUCCUAUGCUGCCUAGAAAAGCUUCGUUGGCGAGUUGUUAGCCGCCCGUACCCUAAACCGACACAGGUGGAUAGGUAGAGAAUACCGAGGCGAUCGGGAUAAUCGUGGUGAAGGAACUCGGCAAAAUACCCCCGUAACUUCGGGAUAAGGGGGACCUGAUACGUGACCAGCCUUGCGUUGUGAGCGUUGAGGGUCGCAGAGACCAGGCCCAAGCGACUGUUUACUAAAAACACAGGUCCGUGCCAACUCGUAAGAGGAAGUAUACGGACUGACUCCUGCCCGGUGCUGGAAGGUUAAGGGGAACUGUCAGCCGCAUUUUGUGUGGUGAAGCGGUGAACUUAAGCCCCAGUAAACGGCGGUGGUAACUAUAACCAUCCUAAGGUAGCGAAAUUCCUUGUCGGGUAAGUUCCGACCUGCACGAAUGGAGUAACGAUUUGGGCGCUGUCUCCACCACGAACCCGGUGAAAUUGCAUUACGAGUAAAGAUGCUCGUUACGCGCAGCAGGACGGAAAGACCCCGGGACCUUUACUACAGUUUGGUAUUGGUGAUCGGUGUGACUUGUGUAGGAUAGGUGGGAGACUUUGAAACCGGGACGCCAGUUCCGGUGGAGUCGUCGUUGAAAUACCACUCUGGUCAUUCUGGUUAUCUAACCUAGGACCGUUAUCCGGUUCAGGGACAGUGCCUGAUGGGUAGUUUGACUGGGGCGGUCGCCUCCUAAAAGGUAACGGAGGCGCCCAAAGGUUCCCUCAGCCUGGUUGGCAAUCAGGUUUCGAGUGUAAGUGCACAAGGGAGCUUGACUGUGAGACCGACGGGUCGAGCAGGGACGAAAGUCGGGACUAGUGAUCUUCUGGUAGCGAAUGGAAGCGCCAGGACUCAACGGAUAAAAGGUACCCCGGGGAUAACAGGCUGAUCUUGCCCGAGCGUCCAUAGCGACGGCAUGGUUUGGCACCUCGAUGUCGGCUCGUCGCAUCCUGGGGCUGGAGUCGGUCCCAAGGGUUGGGCUGUUCGCCCAUUAAAGCGGCACGCGAGCUGGGUUUAGAACGUCGUGAGACAGUUCGGUCCCUAUCCGCUGCGCGCGUAGGAGUCUUGAGAAGGGCUGUCCUUAGUACGAGAGGACCGGGACGGACCAACCUCUGGUGUGCCAGUUGUUCCGCCAGGAGCACGGCUGGUUGGCUACGUUGGGAAGUGAUAACCGCUGAAAGCAUCUAAGCGGGAAGCACGCUUCAAGAUGAGGACUCCCACACCGUCAAGGUGGUAAGGCCCCCCGCAGACCACGGGGUUGA